rnacentral:rRNA from 1 species
UACGAAGGGGGCUAGCGUUGCUCGGAAUUACUGGGCGUAAAGCGCACGUAGGCGGCUUUCUAAGUCGGGGGUGAAAUCCUGGAGCUCAACUCCAGAACUGCCUUCGAUACUGGAGAGCUCGAGUCCGGGAGAGGUGAGUGGAGCUGCGAGUGUAGAGGUGAAAUUCGUAGAUAUUCGCAAGAACACCAGUGGCGAAGGCGGCUCACUGGCCCGGUACUGACGCUGAGGUGCGAAAGCUAGGGGAGCGAACAGG